CAAAACUUAAAGCAAAAUUAAAAAACAAAAGGAAUAUGUGAGAAUACAUAAGUAAAGAUGUCAUUAUAUGGUCCAGCUUUUUCAUGAUUUUUGGUAAUUAUAAUAUCCUAAAAUUGCCAUGUGUGAACAACUUUUUUUUCUUUCAAAGGAGACAAAGUUGAUACAAAUAAACUUAAAAGUGUUUUAGGAAACUUGGGGAUUGAGCUCAUGCCUGAUGAACACUUGAACUUGCUGAAAACAUUGCCAGUUAAUGCUGAUGGAAAAGUGUAUCAGAAAAGGUUGAUGAAAGGCAUAAAGUCUCUUGAGCAAGGCAGUGUUGAUGUCAAUAAGCUGGACACUCUUUUAGAAAACAUGGGGAUAAAGAUCACGGAAGAGGAAUUCAUGGAUCUAACAGAAAGACUACCAGAUGACUCUGAAAAGAAAGUCAAACUAAAUAAGUUGAUUAAAGAAUUGAGUGCUGUUUUAGGAAAACAGGUAGAUGUCUGUGACCUAGAAGAUGCACUAAAAGACAUGGAAAUAGAGGUCCCAUAUGAGGACUACUUGCAUUUAGUAAAAACUUUGCCGCUUGAUGCUGAAGGAAAGGUGUAUCAAAAAAGGUUGCUGGAUGGUAUAAAGACUGUUAAAAGAGGAAAAGUUGAUAUAAAUGACCUGGAUAAAUUUCUGGAAAAUAUGGGGAUUGAGCUCUCAGAAAAAGAACUUGAAGAUUUUUCAAAAGACCUACCAGUUGAUGUUGAUGAGAAGGUUGAUCUGAAAAACAUGAUGCUGAGAAUAAAAGAUUUUACAGGAGAAAAGGUUGAUGCCAGAGAUCUGAAAAAUGUUCUUGGAGACAUGGGGAUAGAAGUCAAUGAUAAGGACUGCGUGGAACUGCUAAAAUUACUACCAGUUGAUGGUGAUAAGAAAGUUUUUCGGAAUAGAUUGCUAACGGGUUUGAAGUCUUUCAAAGGAGGAAAGGUUGAUAUCGGUAACCUGAAGACGAUUCUUGGGAACAUGGGGAUCAAGCUCAAAAAUAAGGAACUUCAAAGUGUGAUACAAAAUCAACCUGUUGAUGCUAAUGGAAAUGUUCCUCUGAAAAAGGUGAUGGAUGAUGUGAAAGCAAUUAUAGGAGAAAAACUUAACGUGGAAAAUCUAAAAAACAUUCUCGAAGGCCUUGGAAUAGAAUUCACACCUAAAGAAUACUUGGAACUGGUACAAAAUCUGCAAAUUGAUGAUGAUGGAACUAUAUCUGAAAAUAGAUUGCUAGAUGGUGUGAAAUCAUUCAAAGGUGGAAGAGUUGAUGUUAGUAACCUGGAAAAUGUUUUGGAAAAUGUGAAAAUCAUGCUUCCAGAUAAGGAACUUAAAGAUUUGUCACAAAACCUACCAGUUGAUGCUUCUGGGAUGACUGAUCUGCAUAAACUACUAAAAGAAGUAAAUAAAUUCACAGGAGGAAAAAUUCAAGCCAAGGACAUACAAAAAGUACUGGGAGACAUGGGAGUAGAGCUCACAAAUAGGGAACUCUGGAACCUGAUGAAAAUGUUGCCAAUUACUGAUGACGGAAAGGUAUAUAAAAAUAUAUUGCUUGAUAAUAUAAAAUCAUUUCCUGGUGGGAAGUGCAAUGUCUCUAAAAUUGGUACUAUCCUGGAAAACAUGGGUUAUGAGCUGGAAGAUGAGGAAAUUGAAUACCUGCAGAACCACCUGCCAACUACUGAUGAAAAGAAGGUUAAACUGAAUAAGGUCAUGGAAAAUGUAGAGUCAUUUACAGGAACCAAGAUUAAUACUAAUGAAGUAGAUGAUAUUUUGAAAAACAUAGGGAUAGAACUCACACCUAAGGAACGCUGGAAGCUGCUAAAAACUCUGCCAGUUACUUCUGAUGGAAAAGUGUGUCGCAAUCUGUUACUAGAUCGUUUAAAGACUUUCCAAGGAGGGAAGGUCUUUGAAAAUAAACUAGAAACCAUUCUGGAAAACAUGAACUACAAACUUGAAAAUGAAGAAAUGAAAGAUCUACGGAACCAUUUGAAAAUUGAUGACAAUGGAAAGAUUUUAUUAAAUUCUGUGAUCCGUGCAGCCAAUUUAUUUUCUGGUGAUAAGAUAAAUGCCAGUGACAUACAACUUUAUCUAGGAAAUGUAGGUAUUGAAUUUACAAAUAAAGAAAACCAGGAUCUACUGGACAUAGUGCCAUUGGAUGAUAAUAAAAGGGUAUAUAAAGAUAGGCUGAUGGAUGGAGUGAAGACUUACAGAGGUGAGUAAAAAUCAUGCUAGAAAAGAUAAAACUGAGUUCUUCAAGCUUUUGUGUUUACUUUCUUAAAACCUAUCUUAUUUCCCACUGAUUAGAUUACUAAUUAUGUUAAUAUAUUCUUCAAAUUAUGAACUGGCAUUGUUACUCGUACACAAUCACAUUUGGGGUAAUAGCUUUCACUAUUUUGUCACUGUAGCAAAUUUCAAAUCUUACUGGUAAGAAAUCUUUGGAUUGUUGUCUCUUUGCUGUAAUUCAUCAGUCUUGCUUGCUCUUUUUCCUC
ensembl:lincRNA